rnacentral:rRNA from 1 species
UACGGAGGGUGCGAGCGUUAAUCGGAAUUACUGGGCGUAAAGGGGGCGUAGGCGGAUUUACCAGUCAGAUGUUAAAUUUCAGGGCUCAACCUUGGAGUGCAUUUGAUACUGUAAUGUCUUGAGGUUAAAUGGAGGAAAUGGAAUUCCACGUGUAGCGGUGAAAUGCGUAGAUAUGUGGAGGAACACCCGUGGCGAAGGCGAUUUCCUAAUUUACACCUGACGCUGAGGCCCGAAGGCUAGGGGAGCGAACAGG